rnacentral:sRNA from 1 species
GUCUCCAAGAUGGCCGCUUGGGGAAGGAGGCGUCUUGGCCCGGGCAGCAGUGGCGGCAGCGCCCGAGAGAGGGAACCAACAGUGUUUGUAAUGAAGAACAUCAGACUCUGAGCUGUAACCUGAAUUCUUGUCCAAAAUUCAGCACACUGGCAACGAGCACAUCAAACAGAUUGCCACUUGUCCUGUCGGCGUCUUUGAGACACACUUGCCCAUCUAGGAAAGCACAGUGCAGGUAUCUGUGUUCUGCCACCGUGUGCCAGCCCGGACCAGCUCACAGACAGCCCUGCCUGUCUUACUUGGGCUGCUCGGCUUCACUCUCUCAGGGCCCCUGAACCUCCCAGAGCCCUCCGUGAUUGUUGGAAUGGUGAGCUUGUCGGCCACAGACUGCUACAUUGUGCAUGAGAUCUACAAUGGGGAGAAUGCCCAAGACCAGUUUGAGUACGAGCUGGAGCAGGCCCUGGAAGCCCAGUACAAGUACAUUGUGAUUGAGCCCACUCGCAUUGGCGACGAGACAGCCCGCUGGAUCACCGUGGGCAACUGCCUGCACAAGACGGCCGUGCUGGCGGGCACCGCCUGCCUCUUCACCCCGUUGGCGCUGCCCUUAGAUUAUUCCCACUACAUUUCCCUGCCCGCUGGUGUGCUGAGCCUGGCCUGCUGCACCCUCUAUGGGAUCUCCUGGCAGUUUGACCCUUGCUGCAAGUACCAAGUGGAGUACGACGCCUAUAAACUGUCGCGCCUGCCUCUGCACACACUCACCUCCUCCACCCCGGUGGUGCUGGUCCGGAAGGACGACCUGCACAGAAAGAGACUGCACAACACGAUAGCACUGGCCGCCCUGGUGUACUGUGUAAAGAAGAUUUACGAACUCUAUGCCGUAUGAUUUCAGUAGAACAGGGAGCGAAGCAAAACCACCCGGCCCACAAGAGACAACAGAGUAUUCAGAUCGCCACACUCUGUGAGGCAGCAGAGCCUGGGAAGGUGUUUGGCUUAAUAUUUGUUAUUUUUAAAAAAUAACAUCACGGGUGUACCCAGGGUUUUUCAGCUCAUUACACUAAGAUGUGGAUUUCCAUAACCCAAGAGGGGGGUCUGAGGCUGUGGAAGUCCGACUGGGCAGUGGAAUGCUGAUGGAGGCAGACGCUGCCGAGGGGGUGUGGACGUGCUUUGGGGGAGGUCUUUAAGUCUAUUGUUUAACUGUACCAUCCAGAGCCCACCAGAAGCUAUUGAUCAUUAAAAUUAUGAGAAUU